UUAGCGGCGGACGGGUGAGUAACACGUGAGUAACCUGCCUUUUACACAGGGAUAGCCUCGGGAAACCGGGAUUAAAACCUGAUGAAACUAUCAAAAUCACAUGAUUAAGAAAGUUAAAAACUCCGGUGGUAAAAGAUGGACUCGCGUCCCAUUAGCUAGUUGGUGAAGGUAACGGCCCACCAAGGCAACGAUGGGUAGCCGGCCUGAGAGGGUGAACGGCCACAUUGGAACUGAGAAACGGUCCAAACUCCUACGGGAGGCAGCAGCC
rnacentral:rRNA from 1 species